UGACCGCUGGCGGCGUGCCUAAUACAUGCAAGUCGAGCGACCAGACGAGGAGCUUGCUCCUCUGACGUUAGCGGCGGACGGGUGAGUAACACGUGGAUAACCUACCUAUAAGACUGGGAUAACUUCGGGAAACCGGAGCUAAUACCGGAUAAUAUAUUGAACCGCAUGGUUCAAUAGUGAAAGACGGUUUUGCUGUCACUUAUAGAUGGAUCCGCGCCGCAUUAGCUAGUUGGUAAGGUAACGGCUUACCAAGGCGACGAUGCGUAGCCGACCUGAGAGGGUGAUCGGCCACACUGGAACUGAGGCACGGUCCAGACUCCUACGGGAGGCAGCAGUAGGGAAUCUUCCGCAAUGGGCGAAAGCCUGACGGAGCAACGCCGCGUGAGUGAUGAAGGUCUUCGGAUCGUAAAACUCUGUUAUUAGGGAAGAACAAAUGUGUAAGUAACUAUGCACGUCUUGACGGUACCUAAUCAGAAAGCCACGGCUAACUACGUG
rnacentral:rRNA from 1 species